GACGAACGCUGGCGGCGUGCUUAACACAUGCAAGUCGAACGGUGAAGCGCCUUCCUUUUUGGUGGGUGUGGAUGAGUGGCGAACGGGUGAGUAACACGUGAGUAACCUGCCCCCUUCUUCUGGAUAACCGCAUGAAAGUGUGGCUAAUACGGGAUAUUCUGGGUCUGUCGCAUGAUGGGUCUGGGAAAGAUAUUGUUUCGGUGGGGGAUGGGCUCGCGGCCUUUCAGCUUGUUGGUGGGGUGAUGGCCUACCAAGGCGGUGACGGGUAGCCGGCCUGAGAGGGUGGACGGUCACACUGGGACUGAGACACGGCACAGACUCCUACGGGAGGCAGCAGUGGGGAAUAUUGCACAAUGGGCGCAAGCCUGAUGCAGCGACGCCGCGUGAGGGAUGGAGGCCUUCGGGUUGUGAACCUCUUUCGCCAGUGAAGCAGGCCUGCCUCGUUUGUGGGUGGGUUGACGGUAGCUGGAGAAGAAGCGCCGGCUAACUACGUG
rnacentral:rRNA from 1 species